GGGGGCGUAGCUCAGUGGUAGAGCACCUGGCUUUUAACCAGGGUGUCGUGAGUUCGAUCCUCACCGCCCUCACCA
rnacentral:tRNA from 1 species